GGACUGCAGAUCAGUGGCAGAGCAUCCACUUUGCAUGCAGAAGGUCCCGGGUUCAAUCCCCAGGUAGAUCU